AAAGUUUUCCACCGGAGUACCCCUUUAAUCCUCACCACUGCUUCCUGGUUCCUGUGUUGGGUUGACCCCAUAGAAACUGUCGGCCACAGAAGUGUCUCUCCUCUGUCAGUCAUUGGCUGAUGGGGCAGUUGCUAUGGGGUUACUGAGUUACAAAAACCAGGAAGCAGCUGUAAUGAGCGAGUACUGGAGAGGAACAAUAGCUUUGGGGGAUCAGGUUUCCAAUACAGAGAAGGAAAACAACUGCAUUUAUUAGGAUAUCUGUAGUGUCCCAGUAGCAAUGGUCCAUGUACUAUCCUGAGAAAGUUGUGUGGCUGAGAGUCGAAGGUUUUGCAUAAUGCAUAAUGUAUAUGAAAUAAUGGAGAAUUAAUGCAAAUGGAUUUAUGUGCAAUGUACCAUAUUUAUUGAAUACACAGAGGUAUUACAAGUG